GCUAGUCCUUGCAAAAUGGCCAUGGGCUGGAUGAAAAGGAAAGAAAGAGCCAGUACAGGACACAGCAUCAGAGUCAAAGCUCUACACAAGGACAGUGGCUGUGAUGGUUAAAGGAAGGGCUGGAUGUGAAAAUAGCUGAUGGAGGAGUCAGAGAGCCUGGCAAGUGAUUGUUGAGAUGAAAAGAAAUAAAAAUGCCAAGAUCCCCAGCCUGUUACUGGAAGGAAAGUGACUCCAUUAGUCCCUUCAGAAGGAGCAGGUUCUGCUUAGAGGAUUGGUGUGAAAAUAAGGUUAUUAUUUGAAAUACUGAGUUGAAAACAUCUGUGGAACAUGAACAAAGAAAUGUCUUAAAGCCUGUAAUCUCAACACUUUGGGAGGCCGAGGAGGGAGGAUCAUGAGGUCAGGAGAUCGAGACCAUCUUGGCUAGCACAGUGAAACCCCGUCUCUACUAAAAAUACAAAAAAAAAUUUAAUUAACCAGGCAUGGUGGUGGGCACCUGUAGUCCCAGCUACUCAG
rnacentral:lncRNA from 1 species